rnacentral:rRNA from 1 species
GUGUCGAUGAAGAGCGCAGCCAGGUGCGUGAAUUAAUGUGAAUUGCAGGACACAUUGAACAUCGAUAUCUUGAACGCAUAUUGCGGCCCCGGGUCACUCCCGGAGCCACGCCUGUCUGAGGGUCGGC